UACAGAGGUCUCAAGCGUUGUUCGGAAUUACUGGGCGUAAAGGGCGCGUAGGCGGCCUUGUCAGUCAGACGUGAAAUCCCCAGGCUUAACCUGGGAACUGCGUCUGAUACUACAAGGCUGGAGUUCGGGAGAGGAAUGUGGAAUUCCAGGUGUAGCGGUGAAAUGCGUAGAUAUCUGGCGGAACACCGGUGGCGAAGGCGGCAUUCUGGACCGAAACUGACGCUGAUGCGCGGAAGCCAGGGGAGCAAACGGG
rnacentral:rRNA from 1 species